GGCUCAAUGGUCCAGUGGUAAGAUACUCGCUUCGGGUUAGCUAUCUCUAUUCCCCGGUCUCUUUACGAGAUUGAAAAUGUGAGUGGUCCCGGGUUCGAAUCCCGGUUGAGCCC
rnacentral:tRNA from 1 species